UGAGGAAUAUUGGUCAAUGGGAGAGAUCCUGAACCAGCCAAGCCGCGUGAGGGAAGACGGCCCUAUGGGUUGUAAACCUCUUUUGUCGGAGAACAAAACCCGGGACGUGUCCCGGACUGCGUGUAUCCGAAGAAAAAGCAUCGGCUAACUCCGUGCCAGCAGCCGCGGUAAUACGGAGGAUGCGAGCGUUAUCCGGAUUUAUUGGGUUUAAAGGGUGCGUAGGCGGUCCGUUAAGUCAGCGGUAAAAUUGCGGGGCUCAACCCCGUCGAGCCGUUGAAACUGGCAGACUUGAGUUGGCGAGAAGUACGCGGAAUGCGCGGUGUAGCGGUGAAAUGCAUAGAUAUCGCGCAGAACUCCGAUUGCGAAGGCAGCGUACCGGCGCCAGACUGACGCUGAGGCACGAAAGCGUGGGGAUCGAACAGG
rnacentral:rRNA from 2 species